rnacentral:misc_RNA from 1 species
GUAUAGGUUUACCAACGCUUUUUAGGGCGAAGAUACAUAUUACAUUCUGUGAGACAUACAAUGGGGUUGAUGAUAAGACAUGAGGGCCUUUUUACGGACCCUCACACUAAGUUCACAGGUGUGUGUGGAUUAAGGGGCUCAGGUGUGCACAUGCCCCGAGAGGCCAGCUACAACCCUCACCUAUAAUUUCGAUAAUGAUCCUUCCGCAGGUUCACCUACGGAAA